rnacentral:rRNA from 1 species
AUUGAACGAUGGCGGCAGGCCUAACACAUGCAAGUCGAGCGAGCGGCGGACGGGUGAGUAAUGUCUGGGAAACUACCUGAUGGAGGGGGAUGACUACUGGAAUCGGUAGCUAAUACCGCAUAACAUCAGAUGUGACCAGAUGGGAUUAGCUGGUAGGUGGGGUAAUGGCUCACCUAGGCGACGAUCCCUAGCUGGUAUGAGAGGAUGACCAGCCACACGAGAACUGGUACACGCACCAGACGCCGACGGGAGUAAGCAUGGGGGAAUAGUGGACAAUGGGCUGCAGCCUGAUGCUGCCAUGCCGCUUGCGGGCAGAGGGCCUCCGGUGUGUAAACCACUUUCAGCUGAGUGGCGUUGCGCGCAGAAGAAGCACCGGCUAACUCCGUACCAGCAGCCGCGGUAAUAC